rnacentral:lncRNA from 1 species
UGGGGUUGGGGAUGGUUACUUGGAGGGGAUGGGGAGGGUCAGGUUGUGGGGAUGGUCAACUGGUGGAGGUGGGCAUGGUCAACUGGUGGGGAUGGUCAACUGGUGGAGGUGGGCAUGGUCAACUGGUGGGGGUGGUCAACUGGUGGGGAUGGGCAUGGUCAACUGGUGGAGUUGGGGAUGGUCAACUGGUGGGGGUGGUCAACUGGUGGGGUUGGAGAGGGUCAACUGGUGAGGGUGGUCAACUGGUGGGGAUGGGCAUGGUCAACUGCUGGGGAUGGGCAUGGUCAACUGGUGGGGAUGGUCAACCGGUGGAGGUGGGCAUGGUCAACUGGUGGGAAUGGGGAGCACCAACUGGUGGAGUUGGGGAUGGUCAACUGGUGGGGAUGGUCAACUGGUGGGGAUGGGCAUGGUCAACUGAUGGGGAUGGUCAACUGGUGGGGGUGGUCAACUGGUGGAGGUGGAGAUGGUCAACUGGUGGGGAUGACCAACUGGUAGGGGUGGAGAGGGUCUACUGAUGGGGAUGGGGAGCACCAACUGGUGGAGUUGGAGAUGGUCAACUGGUAGGAAUGGGCAUGGUCAGCUGGUGGGGAUGGUCAACUGGUGGGGAUGGGCAUGGUCAACUGGUGGAGUUGGGGAUGGUCAGCUGGUGGGGGUGGUCAACUGGUGGGGAUGGUCAACUGGUAGGGGUGGAGAGGGUCAACUGGUAGGGGUGGUCAACUGGUGGAGGUGGAGAUGGUCAACUGGUGGGGAUGAGGAGCACCAACUGGUGGAGUUGGAGAUGGUCAACUGGUGGGAAUGGGCAUGGUCAGCUGGUGGGGAUGGUCAACUGGUGGGGAUGACCAACUGGUAGGGGUGGAGAGGGUCAGCUGGUGGGAAUGGGCAUGGUCAACUGGUGGGGAUGACCAACUGGUAGGGGUGGAGAGGGUCAACUGGUGGGGAUGGGGAGCGCCAACUGGUGGGGAUGAGGAGCGCCAACUGGUGGGGUUGGCCGACUGGUGGAGACCCCACGUCCCACCCCCGGCCGUUCCCCCGGUGACAAGGCCCUUCCCGGUCCCCCCAGGACAACAGCCGCCGCGUGGACAACGUGCUGAAGCUGUGGGUGAUCGAGGCGCGGGACCUGCCCCCCAAGAAGCGCUACUACUGCGAGCUGUGCCUGGACGACAUGCUGUACGCCCGCACCACCAGCAAGGCGCGCACCGACAACGUCUUCUGGGGGGAGCACUUCGAGUUCAACAACCUGCCGGCCGUGCGCACCAUCCGCCUGCACCUCUACAAGGACACGGACAAGAAGCGCAAGAAGGACAAGAGCAACUACGUGGGGAUGACCAUGAGCAUCCUCCCCAUGGAGCUCUACAAGGAGUUCGCCGAGUACGUCACCAACAACUACCGCAUGCUCUGCGCCGUCCUCGAGCCCGUGCUCAGCGUCAAGAGCAAGGAGGAGGUGGCCUGCGCCUUGGUGCACAUCCUGCAGAGCACCGGGAAGGCCAAG